AUUGAACGCUGGCGGCAGGCCUAACACAUGCAAGUCGAGCGAGCGGCGGACGGGUGAGUAAUGUCUGGGAAACUGCCUGAUGGAGGGGGAUAACUACUGGAAACGGUAGCUAAUACCGCAUACCAUCAGAUGUGCCCAGAUGGGAUUAGUUGGUAGGUGGGGUAACGGCUCACCUAGGCGACGAUCCCUAGCUGCUUUGAGAGGAUGACCAGCCACACUGGAACGGAGACACGGUCCAGACUCCGACGGGAGGCAGCAGUGGGGAAUAUUGCACAAGGGGCGCAAGCCGGAGACAGCAAUGCCGCGGGUGUGAAGAAGGCCUGCGGGUUGUAAAGCACUGUCAGCGGGGAGGCGUUACCCGCAGAAGAAGCACCGGCUAACUCCGUGCCAGCAGCCGCGGUAAUAC
rnacentral:rRNA from 1 species